GUAAGCAAUCAAUUAAAUCAUUGAUAGUCAAUAGAUUCUAAUGAGAAUAAUCGUCAAUUAAUUGUAAUUUUUCUUUUCUUUUCCAUUGUUUACGGCCUAUAUUAUCAUAAACAGCAGAAGGGAGACAAAUCGUACUGUAAUACAACAGGAAUGACCAUAAAAAGAACUUACUCAUCCUGCACGUGUGAAUACUGAAGAGUAAUUUCUGAUUUCACGGUUUCAAUAUCUUACAUUUAUACAUAUCUUGAUAACAGUUUGUUUUUCAUAAAGAAUAACUUCAAUGUAUGCAAGAUACAUGUAGAUUAAAAGUUGAUUUUGAAGUAGAUUAACACCAACUUAGGUAUUUCAAAAUACAACAUGAACGGUUUACAUUUUUUUUUUAAUCAGGAACAAUUUUUCCGGAGAAUUACUGGUUAGACGGAACUGAUGUUGUCAAAGAGGGAGAGUUCCGAUGGAUGGGAAAAAAUGGAAAUUCCAUUCCAAUUUCCGGCUACACCAAUUGGUCCCCGGGGCAGCCUGACAAUGCCGGUCGUACAGAGAAUUGUCUGGAGAUACGAUUUUCAUUCAGCAUCCUCUGGAAUGAUCUAGACUGCAAUACCAAGCAAAAUUUCAUCUGUGAAGCCAGCAUUGAGUGGGAGGGUGGCACAGUUUUUGGAUAAAGUCAUCAGUGAGUUUGUUUUGAGUGUAACAAAUCGUGCUUCAAUAAAAGAAUAAAACGACUCAUACACUUAC